UGUGUGUGUGUGUGUGUGUGUGUGUGUGUGUGUGUGUGUGUGUGUGUGUGUGUGUGUGUGUGUGUGUGAUUGUCAGAAGGCUUAUAUGUCCGUGCCUUAUAACAUUUUACAUGGAUAAUAAUGUUUACUACUUUCGCUCCACAUGUAUAAUAUGAGGUGCAUUCCAGAAGUUUUGAGACUUUGUCAGGGGAGACAUUUAUUAAUUUCAAAGAAGUAUCAUACAAAACUCUAAUCUCCUUCAAAAAAAGAGCUCUCUGAUUUAAUGAGCUUGUUGUAGGACUCCAUCCACUUUGUGAAGACCCCCAUGGAAGUCCUCCAAAGUGAAGGUACCCAGGACCCUCGUAACUGUCUCAUUCAUUUUCUCAAUGUCUCCAAAACGACUUCCCCUGAGUUCUUCAGCUUGGGGAUAAAUUGAAGCCAUAGGAAACAGGGUCUGGACUGUAGAGAGGGUGAGGGACAGCUUUGAUGCCCAUUUCUCUCAAGUAGUUGAUUGCCAUGAUGGAAUUGUGGACUGGUGCAGUGGCCACCUACUCGAGAGGAAGAGCUCUCGCCUUUUGUGACGAAAUCUCUUCCUGAAUUAUCUCGAAACCUUCACAAAGUAUUCUGUUGAUCGUCUGGCCAGAGGGAACCUAAUGGGUGUAGAUGACGUCCUUACUAUCGGAAAAGGAGAUCAUGAUGAACUUCCCGGUAGUCUUGCUUUAUCUGACCUUCUUGCACCUGGGGGAGACAGGUUGUUCCAUUAGUUGCUCUAUCUCUUGGACUCCGGAUCAUAACAGUAGAUCCAGCUUUCGUCACAAAUCACCAGACACUGCGAGUUCUCUAGUCGUGAUAUUUGAGUUUUCUUCGAUUUUUGCCUUCAAAACAUCCUCAUCUAACUUUGAAGGUCUUCCACUGCGACUCUCAUCUUCCAAGCUAAACUCUCCAGCUUUAAAUUUUGAAAACCACCUCCGAACAGUUGAUUCACCUGCAGCAUCAUCAGUUACUUUCUACUUAUUUUGUUUCAUUUUAUUUUAUUUCAUGCAGUUUAUCUUUAUAGUUUGUUUUUGCCAUCAUAGGUAAAACCUUGCUGGAACAGUCUUUGCUAUUUCAUCUCAUUUCGUUUAUUUAUAAUGUUUUUGAUUUAUGAACGAUUAUAUUAAUAUAAUCGUUCAUGCUAUAUUUUUUGUUUUGUUCUAUUUUAUUUUAUUUUAUUUAUAUCAUUUUAUGUAAUCGUUCAUUUAAACUUUUUUGUUUUGUUCUAAUUAAUAUUAUAUUAUACAGUCGUUUAUAUUUUGUUCUAUUUAAUUUAAUUUCAUACAGCAUGUUCCUAUAUUUACCUCCUUUCUUUGUCCAUAUUUAUUUUCUAUUUCCUACCAUAUCAUACAUUAUAUAAAUACGCACACACACAUUUAAUACUAAACAUAACAAUCUCAACAAGCUCAUCUAGUGACCAGCUGUUCUUUGGUGUAUUUUUAAACGAAAUAUUCAUCGAAACACCGAAUCAAAUCAAGCAGUACUUAUUAUCUAAUUUGGAUAUAUUUAGUACUUUCAUAUAAACUGUUAUAACUUACGUUACUUCGAAUACAAGCCGUUGAUACAUGAACGCAAAAUGCUUACUGUUAAACGAAAUGUUUUGAUAUUUGCGAUCAGAGUUCAAAUUCUGCCGUAAUCAACUUCGUCUCCGAGGAAAUUCGUAGAAGUAAAUUACUUCAGCUGAAUCAAAUCACUUGAUUAGAAGAAAAUGUCAAAUCUUAAGAUGAUUACUUAAUAUGUCCCAUCUGCAAAUUAGUGUUAGUGACCGUUCAAGGUGAAAGACGGUCUGAAAGCCUAACAUCUUGACCCGAUAUUCAUCUGGCUCUGAAACGUGCUUGAUACUAAAAAAAAAACUGUGCUCGACCUAAAAACUGUUCGCCAAAAUCCUACCGAUGUAUGUCGAAGGUUUUAGUAGCAGAUUUAUCGGCUGAGUUUCAUGCAGAAUUUGGCGCAUAACUUUAAUUUGUCAACUGUCGUAAAAAUCACAAAAUCGCUUUAACACAUCAUUUUCUAAAAUCUAGUUUAAAAAUCGAAUACGAAUAGCAAGUAUAAAACUGAUUUUGUAGGCAGUUACUAGCGAUCGUCAUUCCCUUUUGUAGCAUCCAUGGCACAUAUAGGCAGGAAACUUUUGGUAGCAGCCUCGUUUGUGUGGUUUGGGUGUGUAGAAAAGUUAUAUAUUGUGUGUAUGUAAGACAUUGUGUGAUAUAUGUUUAAACAUUUGAUAUAUGUAUUAUAUUUCUGUAAAACAUUUCAUGUGUGUGUGUGUGUGCGUGUGUGUGCAGUAUGUGUAGAACAUUUAAUAUGUAUAGUGUAUAUAUAUGCAAGAUGUAUAUUAUAUUUUCGAUGGAUUUGUAAACAAUAUAUAUCUAAAGAUUUCUAUAUUAGAUUAUAAAUAGAUCUAUUUCAUGUAAACGACAAUUAUUUUUGAGGUUAUGCUCACUUUGUUGUCUGGUUUUAAAUAUAAUUACCACACUUAUUUUGUUUCCCAAAUUUUCCCUAUUGGCGUUUACUUUUUGGGGUGUUCACUAUAUCUGUUUAACUCAACAAACGUUUACUAUUCGUAUUCAGUUUCAAAGAUGCUCACUAUUCGGUUGUACAUAUUCGGUUUCACAUGCUUUUGAUGUUUAGUUUUUUUACACGUUCACUAUUGAUGUUUAGUGUUUAACAUGUUCAUUGUUUAUGUUUAGUAUACAUUCACCAUUGAUGUUCAGUUCCAUCUAUGUUUACGUAUGUUUAUUUUCGCACACGUUCACCAUUGUUGUUUAGUGUUGCACAUGUUCACCAUUGAUGUUUAGUGUUGCACACGUUCACCAUUGAUGUUUAGUUCCGUACUCGUUCAUUAUUAAUAUUUGUUCAUUAUUGAUACAGAUAUUUAGUUUCGUACACGUUCACUGUUGUUGUUUAGCUUCUACAGUGUUCACUGUUUAUGUUCUGUUGCACCCACGUUCACUAUUGAUGUACGCACAUGUUCGCCUUGUUUGUUUACUUCUUCACAUGUUCACUAUUCCUCUUCAGUUUCAAUAUAUUUAUUGUUGAUGCUCAGUUUCUCACACGACCAUUACUGAUGUUUAGCUUUUGCACACGUUCAGUAUUCAUAUUCAGUUUUGCACAUGUUGUCUAUUCAUGUUCAGUUUUGCACACGUUCACUGUUGAUGUUCACUUUUGCACACGUUCACUGAUGAUGUUCACUUUUACACACGUUCACUGUUGAUGUUCACUUUUGCACACAUUCACUGAUGAUGUUCACUUUUACACACGUUCACUGUUGAUGUUCACUUUUGCACACAUUCUAUUGAUGUUCACUUUUGCACAAGUUCACUACAAUUUUUUGUUUCGAUCAUGUUCACUACUAAUGUUUACUUUCGCACACGUUCACUAUUGUUAUUUGGUUUCAACAACGUUCACUGCUGGCGUUCUGUUGCGUACGCAUUCACCACUAACGUUUAGUUUUGCACACAUUCACUAUUAAUGUUUAGUUUUGCACGCGUUCAGUAUUUAUGUUCAGUUUUGCUCACUUUAUGUUGAUGUUCACUUUUUCACACGUUCACUAUAGAACGUGUUCACUUUUGCACACAAUCUAUUGAUGUUCACUUUUUGCACACAUAAUAUUGAUGUUUACUUUUGCACACGUUCACUACAAUUUUUUAUUUCGAUCAUGUUCACUACUAAUGUUUACUUUCGCACACGUGCACUAUUGUUAUUUGGCUUCAACGAUGUGCACUGCUGGCGUUCUGUUGCACACGCAUUCACCACUGACGUUUAGUUUUGCACACAUUCACUAUUGAUGUUUAGUUUUGCACGCGUUCAGUAUUUAUGUUCACUUUUGCACACAUUCUAUUGUUGUUUACUUUUGCACACGUUCACUACAGACAUUUAGUUACGCCCAUAUUCACUCUCAAUGUUUACUUUCACACACGUUCACUAUUGUUAUUUACUUUCGACAACGUUCACUGCUGGCGUUCCGUUGGGCACACGUUCACCAUUGAUGUUUAAUUUUGUACACAUCCACUAUUAAUGUUUAGUUUUGCACACGUUCAAUAUUCAUGUUCUGUUUUUCACACUUUCUAUUGAUGUUCACUUCUGCACACGUUCACUAUAGAUAAUUAGUUUUGCACAUGCUGACUAUUAAUGGUUACUUUUGCUCCUGUUUAGUUUCGACAACGUGCACUGUUGACGUCCCCUUGCGUACACGUUCACUAUUGUUGUCUACUUCCGUAUAGGUUCACUAUUGCUGUUUAGUUCCAAAUACGUUAACUAAAGAUGUUUAUUUUUGCACACAUCUACUAUUUAUGGCUUUUUUUUGCACAAUUUGAAUUUUAGUUUUGCACAAUUCACUACUGGUUUUUAGUUUUGAGCACGUUCACUAUUCCUGUUUACUUUCUCACACUUUUACUAUUAGUAUUUAGUUCCAUAAACGUUCAUUAUUGAUGUUUAAUUUUGCACACGUUCAGUAUUCAUGUUCAAUUUUGCACACAUUGUAUUUUGAUGUUCAGUUUUGCACACAUUGACUCUUUGCACACUUUCACUAUAGAUAUUUAUUUUCGCACAUGUCCACGUUUGAUAUUCACUUCUACACGCGUUCACUACUGAAGUUUACUUCCGCACACGUUUACUAUCGAUGUUAAGUUUCGUUCACGUUCACUGUUGACGUUCUGUUUCUCACGUUCACUAUUGAUGUUUACUUCCGUAGAUGCACUACUAUUUUUUUAGUUUCAGAUACGUUAACUAUUGAUGUUUAAUUCUGCAUACGUUCACCGCUGAUGUUCAGUUUUGUACACAUUUACUGUUAAUGUUUUGUCUCGCACUCGUUCACUGUUGAUUUCUAGUUUUGAACACGUUCACUACAGAUUUUUAGUUUCCACACAUUCACUAUUUACUCUCGCACACUGAUAUUUAGUUUUGCACACGUUCACUGUUGAAGUUUCACUUUCUCAGACGUUCACUAUUGAUGUUUACAUAAGUUCAUGUUUUGUGUUCAAUUUCACAUAAAUUCAUUCUCUUGCGUUUAGUUUUACAUGCUCGGUGUCUGACACGUUUUGAUUUUUCGCACUUCACUUUUGAUCUUUUGUUGCAUAAACAUUUAAAGAAUUUUCUUCAUUUUUACACACAUUCACUUUUGAUAUUUAUUUUCACAAAUGUUCACUACUAAUGCUUACUUUUCAUGUGUAAUUUCUUUCUCUGAGAUCUUCGCUAUUAAUUAUCUUCACGAUUAUUAUUAAUACAAGAUCUUUCGGUCUUCCACGUCCUGGCAUUUUUCAAUAUAUAAAUACAGAAAAAAAAUCUUUCAGUUUCAUUUUAUUGCCAACUAUUGCCAAUUACCAUUUAUGCCUGAGAAAAAAAAAAUCUUUCAGUUUCAUUUCUUUCCUUUAUUUCAUUUAUUUUUAUAUACCUACAACGAAGGAUCAACCCAAAUUUCUGUAAUAUAUAAUUUCAUAAUCUUAUAGAUAAUUUGUUUGAGUUUAAUCACUCUUUUCCAUCGCAUUUACUAUUUUGCUUAAAUCAUCGUCUUCGACUCCAGAAAGUGUCUUCCAGAUAUGUUAAUUCAAAUGCCACAUUGUUAAACACCUUUGUGCACGUUAGAAUAUUCUCUGUUGGAUAAAAGAAUCUCAUAAGUAAAGGCUUUGUCUUUUUUGGUCAGAGUAUAAAGAACAUUGUGAGAGGGAGGUAUCAGUUGUCUCAAUCCACCACCGAAAAUACAAACCGAUGUAUUUAAAUUGAUUCCAAUUUGAAUAUAUACACCUUUACGUUAAUUGUGUUGCAGUUUGAAACUCAGGUUUAUAUAGAAUCAUUGUUUGCCCAUUUUAGAUGAAGGAAAACUAGCAUUUUAAUAAGUUUAUUCAUUCUAGUUCGAUUCCCUUUUAAUCUUUACAUUUUGUUUUAUAAAUAUUUACUAAUGGUAUUUAGUUUCACGAGUGCUCACAAAUAUUAAUUAGUGCGGAAGAUGUCUAUUUUUCUUCCGAUCAAGAUAUUGUUGUAAAAAUGUCAGUGUGUGUGUUUGUGUGUGUGUGAGUGUGUGUGUGUGUGUGUGUGUGUGUGUGUGUGUGUGUGUGUGUGUGUGUGUGUGUGUGUGUGUGUGUGUGUCUGUGUGUAUGUGUAUAGUAAGUUCUCGGCAGAGUACCUGAUCUAAUCCCAAUUCCAAAUUGAAACCGUUUCGCUUCUAUUACGAAUCGCCUCAAAGAAGGCAUGGCUACCACGUUAAUGAAUUAUCAGUUUGAAGUUUUGCAUCUAUAUUUUGAAAAAGUUCGUGUAUACGUACACUCUUUCUUACAUAAAUAAUGCGCAUACGUACGUACGUACGUACAUACAUACAUACAUACAUACAUACAUACAUACAUACAUACAUACAUACAUACAUACAUACAUACAUACAUACAUACAUACAUACAUGCAUACAUGCAUGCAUGCAUGCAUGCAUGCAUGCACAUACAUUCGUUUAUCUAUGUUUAUCAACCAACAAUUAUACCUUACCGUUGCCUUAAAUUUACUUAAAGCUCAAAAUACAUUGUCAAAAUCUCACAAUAAAAUUCUCACCAGAAUUUUGAGAUUCUAAAAAUCUAUUUGAUAUCAAAUUCAUUUCACAUUAGGAAAAUUUAUUUUAUAUUAGAUUACAAAUCUGACAUUAAAACAUAAUCUAAAAUCAGAAAGUGCCAAAUGUUAUUUUUCGUUAUAGUUCGUUUGAAAAUUCUGUGGAAAAAUAACUUUUAAUCAUUGUAUGAAUUUUAAAAAACUACUCAUAUACAUAAUAAUAAAUUAUUUUUAAUAAUUGUUCUUUAAUGGGGAUUUAAAUAAAAUUCUUGUCUUCCAAAUUCAACAAGUGCCUUUGCUUGGAAGCCGAAACCUUCAUAAAAUCUCAUGUCGUGAACAAUACUUUAUGAAAAGCUUUGUGGAAAUGUUAAGUUCAGUGUAAAAGAGAGAAUGAUUGUAUGUUUGUUGUUUGUUGUUUGUUAUCAUUAUCUUCAUUAUUCCAAAGUCAAGUCCUGUAUUGAACAGGGCGACAACAAAUCGGCGUCUUCCAAAGUCAACAUAUAAUCCAAGUGAUAAAAAAAAAUUUCAUCACUGGACACACUCAGCAUUCAUAAUGUAUCCCAACAUUAUGAACAUUAACUUCAUACACACAUUAAUACACAUCUGUACAGUUAAAUAUAUAUCAAACAGUUUUUUUUUAACAAUAUUUUCCUUGUCUCUUCCAAAUUUUUUGAUGUUUAUUCAAACUAAUUCUUUCAACACAUUAUUUUUGCCUAAAUAAAUGUACAUUUUGUAAAAAGAAAAUGCAUUAACUAAUAUAUGUCAUGUUUACUGUAUACAAUGAGAGUGCAAUCGAGAUUCCUAUUCAUCGAGAAGAUGGUUAUUUGGAUUAAUAAACAUUGUGUUCAAUGGUGCUUCAAA